rnacentral:tRNA from 1 species
GCCUGGGUGGCUCAGUUGGUUAAGCAUCUGACUCUUGAUUUUGGCUCAGGUUAGGAACUCGCGGUUUGUGGGUUCGAGCCCCACAUCAGGCU